rnacentral:ncRNA from 1 species
UAAAGGGCAAACUUAUAGAAAUGUAAGGACGCAAAACUAGAAGUCUACGGUAUAUAUUACAUAGAUAGUUCGGUUGCA